rnacentral:rRNA from 1 species
CCUACGGGAGGCAGCAGUGAGGAAUAUUGGUCAAUGGACGAGAGUCUGAACCAGCCCAGUAGCGUGAAGGAUGACUGCCCUAUGGGUUGUAAACUUCUUUUAUAAAAGAAUAAAACGAGGCACGUGUGCCUUUUUGCAUGUCCUUUAUGAAUAAGGAUCGGCUAACUCCGGGCCAGCAGCAGCGGUAAUACGGAGGAUCUGAGCGUUAUCCGGAUUUGUUGGGGUUAAAGGGAGCGUAGAUGGGUUGUUAAGUCAGUUGUGAAAGUUUGCUGCUAAACCGUAAAAUUGCAAUUGAUACUGGCAGUCUUGAGUACAGUAGAGGUAAGCGGAAUUCGUGGUGUAGCGGUAAAAUGCGUAGAGAUCACGAAGAACCCCGAUUGCGAAGGCAGCUUACUAAACUGUGACUGACAUUGAUGCUCGAAAGUGUGGGUAUCAAACAGGAUUAGAUACCCUAGUAGUC